AAUAAACUGUAAAGUCUAUCCUGCCCACUGAAAUUAUUUUGAAGGGCCGCGGUAUCAUGACCGUGCGAAGGUAGCAUAAUCAAUAGUCUUUUAAUUGAAGGCUGGAAUGAACGGUUGGACGGAAAGAGAGCUGUCUUAUUUUAAGUAAAUGAAUUUGACUUUUAUGUGAAAAGGCAUAAAUAACUUGGGGGGACGAUAAGACCCUAUAAAACUUUAUAAUUGAGUUGGAUUUUUGAUUUGGAGAGUUAAUAUUUGUUUAGGAGAAAUUAUUUUGCUGGGGAGGUGAAGAUAAAAUAGAGUAACUGUUUUAUAAAUUCAAUAGUAAUAAUUAGAUAGUGACCCUUAAUUUAGGUUUAAAAGUUCAAGUUACUUUAGGGAUAACAGCGUAAUUUCUCUUGAGAGUUCAUAUCGACAGAGAUAGUUGCGACCUCGAUGUUGAAUUAAAACUUCCUGCAGGAGUAGAAAUUUGUUGGGUAGGUCUGUUCGACCUUUAAAGUUUU
rnacentral:rRNA from 1 species